UAACUACGUGCCAGCAGCCGCGGUAAUACGGAGGGUGCGAGCGUUAAUCGGAAUUACUGGGCGUAAAGCGCAUGCAGGUGGUUCAUUAAGUCAGAUGUGAAAGCCCGGGGCUCAACCUCGGAACUGCAUUUGAAACUGGUGAACUAGAGUACUGUAGAGGGGGGUAGAAUUUCAGGUGUAGCGGUGAAAUGCGUAGAGAUCUGAAGGAAUACCAGUGGCGAAGGCGGCCCCCUGGACAGAUACUGACACUCAGAUGCGAAAGCGUGGGGAGCAAACAGGAUUAGAUACCCUGGUAGUCCACGCCGUAAACGAUGUCUACUUGGAGGUUGUGGCCUUGAGCCGUGGCUUUCGGAGCUAACGCGUUAAGUAGACCGCCUGGGGAGUACGGCCGCGAGGCUAA
rnacentral:rRNA from 1 species